rnacentral:rRNA from 1 species
CCUACGGGUGGCAGCAGUGAGGAAUAUUGGUCAAUGGGCGCGAGCCUGAACCAGCCAAGUAGCGUGAAGGAUGACUGCCCUACGGGUUGUAAACUUCUUUUAUAAAGGAAUAAAGUGAGUCACGUGUGCCUUUUUGUAUGUACUUUAUGAAUAAGGAUCGGCUAAUUCCGUGCCAGCAGCCGCGGUAAUACGGAGGAUCCGAGCGUUAUCCGGAUUUAUUGGGUUUAAAGGGAGCGUAGAUGGGUCGUUAAGUCAGUUGUGAAAUUUUGCGGCUCAACCGUAAAAUUGCAAUUGAUACUGGCAGUCUUGAGUACAGCUGAGGUAGGCGGAAUUCGUGGUGUAGCGGUGAAAUGCUUAGAUAUCACGAAGAACUCCGAUUGCGAAGGCAGCUUACUAAACUGCCACUGACAUUGAGGCUCGAAAGUGUGGGUAUCAAACAGGAGUAGAUACCCUAGUAGUC